AUGUAUAUGAUUGUUUACCAGUUCUUUGUUACCCCAGCCAAUCAGCUCCCUGCACCUUCAGUGGUGGUCUUUCCACCUUCAGAAGAAGAGCUUAUCACUAAAGGAACAGCCACUCUGGUUUGCCUGGUGAGAAAGCUGGCCGGGGCUCUGGCUGACAUCAGCUGGGCAGCCAGUGAGACGGCAGUGACCAAUGAAGUCCCGCCCAGUCGGCCCUCCAGGGAGUCUGACGGCACCUUCAGUGUGAGCAGCUGCCUGACCGUCUCCGCGGCAGAGUGGAGGGAGGACAGAGUCUAUUCUUGUAUCGUACAGCAGGGGGCCUCGCUCACCCAGCGCUCCAUACAACAAUCUCACUGCUGA